GAUGAACGCUGGCGGCGUGCCUAAUACAUGCAAGUCGAGCGAACGGACGAGAAGCUUGCUUCUCUGAUGUUAGCGGCGGACGGGUGAGUAACACGUGGAUAACCUACCUAUAAGACUGGGAUAACUUCGGGAAACCGGAGCUAAUACCGGAUAAUAUUUUGAACCGCAUGGUUCAAUAGUGAAAGACGGUCUUGCUGUCACUUAUAGAUGGAUCCGCGCUGCAUUAGCUAGUUGGUAAGGUAACGGCUUACCAAGGCAACGAUGCAUAGCCGACCUGAGAGGGUGAUCGGCCACACUGGAACUGAGACACGGUCCAGACUCCUACGGGAGGCAGCAGUAGGGAAUCUUCCGCAAUGGGCGAAAGCCUGACGGAGCAACGCCGCGUGAGUGAUGAAGGUCUUCGGACCGUAAAACUCUGUUAUUAGGGAAGAACAUAUGUGUAAGUAACUGUGCACAUCUUGACGGUACCUAAUCAGAAAGCCACGGCUAACUACGUG
rnacentral:rRNA from 1 species